rnacentral:tRNA from 1 species
CCUUUGAUAGCUCAGUUGGUAGUGCAGCGGCCUGUAGUGGGGUGAACAUCGUCAUUCUUAGGUUGCUAGGUCGAAUCUGGCUCGAAGGA